rnacentral:rRNA from 1 species
UACGUAGGGUGCGAGCGUUGUCCGGAUUUAUUGGGCGUAAAGCGCGCGCAGGCGGUUCUUUAAGUCUGAUGUGAAAGCCCACGGCUCAACCGUGGAGGGUCAUUGGAAACUGGGGAACUUGAGUGCAGAAGAGGAGAGCGGAAUUCCACGUGUAGCGGUGAAAUGCGUAGAGAUGUGGAGGAACACCAGUGGCGAAGGCGGCUCUCUGGUCUGUAACUGACGCUGAGGCGCGAAAGCGUGGGGAGCAAACAGG